UAAAUAACCUAAUGAGCCACUCCAAGCCUGCCUUGCCCGUACUCCUCCAAAACUCCACCCGGAUUUUAUCCGGCCUGGUCGCUUUUCCCCUGCUCAUCUUACGCAUAGCCCCCUUAACUUCAUCAUCUCUAAUCCACCUAUAAUACCCAAAGUCACAACGAUUCCCGGAAAGUUCCAAAUCACCCAGUACAGUGCUCUCGUCCCCCUCCUCAUUCAAGCGACUAUGAAAGUAGGCCUGCUAUCUCCGACGUAUAAGCCCCUCAUCCAACAAAACUCUACCUUCUUCGUCCUUGAUACACUUCACUUGGUCCAAGUCACGUGCCUUCCUUUCUCGCGCCUUGGCUAACAUGAACAACCUCUUAUCCCCACCUCCGCCCUCAAGUUCCUCAUACAAACGACUAAAAGUUGCAGUCUUGGCUGUCGUAACUGCCAGCUUUGCCUCUUUCUUAGCCAACUUAUAAUGUUCCCUAUUCGCCCUCUUCUCCUCCUCGUCUUCACUUUCCACUAGCUUCAGAUACGCUGCUUUCUUGGUUUCCACUUUUCCUUGCACCUCUACAUUCCACCAACAGUCUCCCUUGUGACCACUAGAGUAACCAUUUAGCUGCAGUCCUACUCAAAUGUUAGAUUGUAGUAUGGGUGACCAAGCAAGAGGUUUUUCAUUGAUUCAAAGCUGAUAAUUAUCAAGACUGAAAAAUAUCCAGCUCUAAUGUGUGCAUUCAAAAUCUAGAGCACCCUAUUGGCCAACUGAAUGCAGAUUUUAGUGCCAAAUAUAACAUUUUUUCUGUGCUGAGUCAACCAACAUUCUUAGCACAAGUGUUCAUCUGUGAGUAUUCUAGAUCCAUAUGAAGCAGUAAGUUAAACCAGUAACCGGGCUCUUUACCAGGAAUUUGGAGUGAUGAUUGCACUAGAAACUUGUCAUAUUAAGUUUGCUGUUGCAUGCAACAAGCCCUUAUGAGAAGCUUGUUCUGUGCAUGUGAUAAUCAAUUACAGUCAAAAUUUGGCUGCUGAAGAACUUGUGUCGUGCAGAACUUCUGCAUAUUUUCCUUCCUUGGUGAACAGUUCUUAUUUUGAUCUUAUACUAGGACAAAUAUGUAGAAAAUUAAGGACAAAUGUGUAGAAAAUUCAAGUCUACAGCACACUAAGUAUAAUGCAAACUUCCCUGGAUUAGUGUCUCUCUUGUCUUGUUCUUGAUAUGAAGCCGAUAUACAAACUAGAAAAUCGAGUGGUUCCCCCCUUCUUUUCCAUUUAUCAUUUGGUAGUGUAAAAUCAUAAAUGAUUCACCAAGGCUAGCCCUCUUACAAUAUAGACUAAAUAAACCGGGAAUGUCAAAAGCUGGAUUUUAUCGAAAACUUUGGUGUUGAGAGAUGGCCAUUCAGUGAUCAUAAGGAUGUCAGGGUCAAUUAGAAUUUGGAUUUGAGUCUACGUUUUGAUGGUUUCAGAUAAAUAUUUGCUUUGAACUUUCAAUCAGUCUAAUCACAGAGCUGACUUCCCCGUUUAAUGAAGCGUACACAACUUAGUGAAGAUAAUUGAAAACCAUAUGAUUGGCAGUUAAAACUUUGGCUGCCUUUAGUCUUCCUGGUUAUCAGAUUGCUUAUCUAAAACUUCGAUAAGCUCUGAGUGAUUUUCCGAUUUAGGAAGAGAUGAAGUUGUGAAUGUGAAAUACAUAUUGUGAUGGAUAUUUCCUAACAUCGCUUUUCCUUUUGUCCUUUCAGAUGGGAAAAAGAUCAGAAUUCCAGGACAUAGAUUACUGAGCAACAGACUUGUUAGGUGCCUAACAAAUGUUGAAGCAUUUAUAUUGCGAGCUGCAGAUCUUGAAGAAGUCACUAAUCUUUUCGCAAGAUUCUUGAGGAGUACACGUGUUCAAGGUGCCAUAAGGUAUGAAUCGCCAUAUUGGCGAGGGCUAGCAGCAAGGCGGAUACAAGUUGCCUGGAGAUACAGGAAGAAACGUCAAAGCCGAGCGGACUCUUCCAGCCCCCAACACUAAUAACAUUCUUACACUGUACUAUUUCACAAUAACUCGUUAGCUCUUCUGAAAUACAUUUAAAUAUAUAUUGUAAUUAUUUUAGUCUGUGUAUCCAGUUCUAUUUUUUGUAUGUAGUAUAGAAUAUAGUAGUGGUUGUCAUUCAGAACUCGGACUGAAUUUGUAUUGAAAUAAUCCAUAGAUUAACCCCAGAUGAUCAGUUGAUAAUAUUUAAAGA